CUCAUCUUUCUCCCGAAGCUCUCUUUAUAUAGUUAGAGGCUUUCAUAGUGGUUUUACUUUGCAAUUUAUUCCCUUUUUGCGAAACAAGAACCUCUGAUUAUUCGUUUGACGAUACAUACGAAUAUUAUCGUCGUGCUCAACUUCAACAAUUCCUUGUUUUUGGUUCAUUUAGCUUCCUUGAAUCACGUGAGGCGGUGAUCCCAAAGCAAACACGUGCGACCUCAUGUGCCCAUAAUGACAAGCUAAUGUUAUUUUAUUUGUUGUUAGCUCGUUAGGCUGCAGCCAUGUCCCAGUGAAGUACACAAGUACAUGAUGAUUUAGCCACGCAAGAUUUUGGUUUCUUCCUUAACGUCAAUUCAACGGUUUGGAUGAUUCGCUAGCAGGAAGAUGAUAUAGAGUGGGUUUAUGUGUUUGUAUUGUGUAUACAAUCAUGGGCCGUGGAGCCUAGUCUCCAUAGAAUGCGACAACGACCACUUGGGGAAAAUGCAUGGCGUAGAAAAUGUGUCGGACAUUAGACGGAAAACACUUACAGUCAUCGUAUAGAGCCAUCCCAUUAGGAACGUUGCGGUGCGUUCGAAAUCUGCGGUCUGGCAAUGAUUGACGCACCAUGACAAAUUCAAAAGGCCACAAUCCUGAGCUAAGGCUUGAAUUGGGCCGUGAAGUCUAUAUCUUAAACCCAUUAUUGAAGUUAGAUACACUAGGGAUAAAGUAGCAUGAAGCAAGGUAAUAUGAAGCAAGUACAACUUUUACUCAAAUGGACUUUAUUCGUUCCUUCCAACCACUCAAAAUUAUGCUGAAUAUUUAGACAGAAAUUGAUGGUGUCAGUAACUUAUGGAUGAGAUGAUAACAAGUGGAAGGGGGUCCUACAAAGAAUCGGGUGAACGGUCGGUCACUAGCCUCGCCACUAUUUCGCCGGACCCAUCCAUCGCCGAUAUUGAGCCACGGAGGUUGGGAGAGUGGGGACACGCGCUGUGACUUGUAGUGAACUUGCCGUUAAGACAACGCUAUAUAGCUUUUUAGAUAUUUCGAUGCAUGUGUUACGCAGAGACACGCGUAAGGUUGAGAUGAAUGGACAAAAUGUGUUCAGAUAAAUGGUCCCCUUAAAGGUAAUAAGAGCGAAGCAUGGAACAGAGAGUCUUCCUCCUCAAUGUCCUCAUGUACAUAUCUAAUUUUAUCUACAUGGCCUCUCAAAUACAUAGCCUCUAGGCUCUAAGAGGAGUUACGAAUAUUCCUACUUUCUCAAAAUUAUUCAAUGUAUUUCUCUACAACUUAUCCAUGGAUAUGUUAUAUGUAUAAUAUACAUGUGAUAAAAAAGAGUAUAAUAUACUUAACCCAAAGAACAAAAUACAAACUCACAAGUACUGUGUUAGAGGUAUUAUAUCAAGGCACUUCAAAUGUAUUCUUUCAGUAACUUUU